rnacentral:rRNA from 1 species
AUUUUAAUAACUCAUUGGAGAGUCGAAUUAUCGGGGUCCUUUUGGAUUCAUUAGUCUUUUCACAGCAUUCUUUAGUAUCAAUUUUUAAUUUUAUUAUUAAUUGUGCUAUAUGAAUGUGAUUUUAAUUUAUUUCUCCAAUUUUAACCUGUGAGUAAAUUAGUGCGAUCAAAGGAUGAUUAGUGGUGGCUUACCUCGCAAGAGGUGGCUAUUUGUGAUGCAACAUAUUUUAGCACAGAACCAGUUAUUCCGGUUGUUCUGCAACCGGUACAGACAAUAGAAUCAGGAACAGGCUUUCGGUAUUUACUGAUGAGGGGUGAAAUCCGUAUAGUUCGUAAGGACCUACGGAGGCGAAAGCGGAAGGCUAGUACUGGUUCAUGUGAUGAGGAACGAGAGCCAGGGGAGCAAAGAUGAUUAGAUACCGUCGUAGUCCUGGCUGUAAACUAUACAAAUUAGAGAUUGUAUGAAACCAUCUAACAGAUUCUUACAGGAUCCUCCGAGAAAUCCUAAAUUUUUGUGUUCUUGGGGGAGUAUAUUCGCAAGAACGAAACUUAAAGGAAUUGACGGAAAUUCACCACCAGGAGUGGAUUCUGCGGCUUAAUUCGACCCAACGCGUGGAAACUUACCAGAACCAGACUAUGGAAAGAUUGACAAGCUAAUGACUUUUCUUGAUUCGUAGAAUAGUGGUGCAUGGUCGUUCUCAGUUCGUGGAUUGGUCUGUCUACUUAAUUGUGAUAACGAGCGAGACCUCCGUUAUUAAUUAGCAACUCCAUAUUCCUAUUGUUGGAAUUGGUAUCGGGUUUUUAACCCAUCUUCUUAGUAAGACUCUAUUCGAUUAAUAAAACAGAAUAGGGAAGUUGGAGGCCAUAACAGAUCUGUUAUGCCCUUAUAUAUUCUGGGCGGCACGCGUAAUACAAUGUUUUUGCCAUCAAGUUGAUGGCAUAAUGUCCGUACCAAAUUUGUAAGGAUAAGGAAAGCUUUUCCAAUCCUUUAUUUCAAGGCUGGGAUUGAAGAUUGUAAGUUCUUCAUGAACCAGGAAUUCCUAGUAAUCGUAAAUCAACAUUUUGCAAUGAAUACGUCCCUGAGUUUUGUACACACCGCCCGUCGCUCCUACCAAUUGAAUCGGAAGAUGAAAUUGCCGGAUUUUCAUAUUUUAUAGGGACAGAAAGCAUUUAAAUCUUUCUAUUUGUAGGAAGGAGAAGUCGUAACAAGGU